rnacentral:lncRNA from 1 species
CUUUCAAACUGAAAGAAUUUAUAAUCUAAUUUAUUAAUAUUCUCUGGAAAAGACAAAGAUACAACAGUAUGCCUGUUUAGAAAGUAUUUCAUAACUCACUCAGGGGAAAAACCUUACCUCAUUUCGGGAAAAAAUUGGGAUUUUGCCCUGUCCUUAUGUGCUAUUUUCCGUAGUAUUUUUCCAGUAGUACUUCUCCAAAUCAAGCUAGGGACAGUUCAGCUUCAAGUUUUAUUGACAUUUUUUGUGGGCAUGAAAUGCUUUUUUUAAUACCUUACUUUAACUCAUUUUGUGUAUUUCUAUGGGAUUCCUAUUUCUUUUCUGAAGAAAGGAGAAAAAGUCAUUAACUUAGAGAAGUUCAGACUUUUCAGAAGGUCAUGAAUCUGACAAGCCAGAAGCAAUGGAUCCUUCUCCAUCUGCCUUUUAUUUCCAGCACAUUUAUACAACCUUCAAGUCUUUGUUUUUCAAAUCUCAGGGAGAGCUACCCAUCCUGGAGUCAAUUGAUGGUUAUCAGGAAGGUGUUUUCAGCUAUUUUCAAAAUACCUUGCAUCUAUGGAACGUGUGUAUAUUUUUGGGUAAUGGCUACUGGACAUCUCCUUGCUUCCUGGUUAUGCCAGGAGUGCCUUUUUCCCUUCAGUACGAUUCCUUCAAACAUUUUGGUAAGAAUUCUUCAUGGGUUGGUGUGCCCCAUAUCACGACAUAUGGUAUGCCCCAUAUCACGUGUACCCCAUAUCAUGACACAUUAGGGUGCAUGGAUUGUCUGUUUUUUGGGGGUGCUAAGAAGGAUCGGUGCAUUUGGGUGGUGAUGAUCUGAUUCUUCUUGGUCCUUCUCAUCUAACAAUUUUAUAUACUGAUAAUUGAAUCAAUUAUUUCAUCUGGGAUUAUAAAAUGUGAUUUUUAAGAAUACUAUACUUUCUAUAUUACAAUCCCAUAAUUUCAUCCACUUUAUUCUGUAAAGAAGAACUUUCUCUCAUCAAGAGGAAUAAUUUCUUUUAAGAGGAAUGAUUUUGAAUUCCUGAAAUAUAGUUAAUAGAGUGAAGGAAAAAUAGGCACUUCAUUUUAUCAUUUUAAUUGACUUUUUUGAAGUAAAGAUUUUUAAAAUGGUAUAUAUUAACUAUGUUUCAUUUUUUUCCACUUUUAAAAAUUAUUUUUUACUUAUGUAAAAUAUAUGUGCAAUAUGUUUCAGACAAUUAUGUUCAUUAUUAUAUCUGAUGAUGAAAUCAUUUUGAAUUUGGCCAAUAGCCACGCUUUCAUGCUGGCUCCUUGACUUUUGGAAAUGACCCUUUGACUUAUAUUUUCCUUGCUUCUUGACACAGCAAAAUAAUUCAGCUUGUAUAUUUCCAGAUUCACAUUUAGAAUCAGCUAUUGUUCUGAAGCCUCUGAAUCACUUAAACAGGAAAUGGCAUUUAGAAACCAGAGUCUAGGUGCUAGUUGUGCUCGGUACUAUUUUGUGCCAUUGCUUCUAGGCCUCUUCAGUGAACAGAGCUAGAGCUAGGAAAUUUGUAUUUUCUAAAGAGAAAAUAAAAAUCAGGAUUUAUAAAAAUUUUUCAAAUUCAGAUUUAACUUUAAAAAAUAUAACUCAACAUUUUGAUCUUAUGCUUGCAUUGCUUUUCUCUUACAUGAAGUAUUUUACUAUGUAAUAAUAUCAAAUUUAAUUGUACACUUACAUAUAUAAAAUUUCAAAGUAAAAUUACCAAUAUUAUUACCAAUAUUGUUAAGACUUCUUUUAAAUUCUGUUUGUCCACAGGAUAUAUUCAAAGUAAAAUUACCAAUAUUAUUAUCAGUACUGUUUAAAUUUCUUUUGAACUAUUUGUCCUCAGAAUAUGUUCCACUAAAUAUGAAAAGUCAAAAAACUAUGUGGGAAAAACAAAUGUGUAUUUGUUUAUGUCUCUAACUUGACAUACAAGUCAGGUUCAUGUUUUCACUUUGUAUUCAUAUUUUAAGGCUGUUACUUCAAUUCUCAUCUCUUCUAUUUUUCUCCUUUUUUAUGGCUACCCAUUUUAAAAAACAAGUUUUAAUUAGCAUAAGUUUAAUAUCAAAAAUUUCAAAAGCAACUUGCCAAAUAAAUGCAAAUUCUUUCCUUAUAGAAAAAAAGCACAUUAUUUAUCCUAUUGCACAUUUUAAUUUUCCACUUAAUAAAAUAUCCUGGGGACCAUUUUGUGUCAGUGUAUGAUAUGAUCUUCAGUUCUUUUCAAGACAAUAUGAUAUUUAAUUUAUGAUAAUUUAUUUAACCAGUCCCUACUGAUAAACUUUUGCGUUGUUUCCAGGUUUUGGUACUAAAAAUAAUUCUGCAAUGAAUAACCUUGUAUAUAAAAAAAAAUCAUAAACUUGCCACUUCUUGACAGAUACCUAAAAGUGGAAUUGCUGAGUCAAAAAGAAAAUGCAUAAGCAAUUAUUCUAGUUACUGUCAACCCCUUCUCUAUCAUUAUUCUCUCCUGUUUUUCCACUGUCACGGAGUUGCUGGAUCACAAUAAAAUGAUAUAUUGUCAACUUUUUAGGUUUUUGCCAUUCUUGUUGGUGAGAAUUGAUAUCUUAAUAAAAUUUUAAUUUAUGAGUUAGAUUGCUCACCUUCUCAUAUAUUUCAUUCUUCUUCUGUAUACUGUUUGUUAACAUCUCUUGCAACUGUUUCUCUCUGGCUGUUGUUCUUUUGCCUCAAUUUUAAAGAUAUCUUUGUGCUGUGAAAUUGUCAUCCCUUUGUCUAUAAGUUAUAUAUGUUUCCUUAGUUUAUUCUUUGUCUUUGUUUAUGGUAUUUUUCCAGUACAAGUCUUUUAUUUUAUUAUUAUUUUUUUCUUUUUAUGAACUUGCAGCAUAUGGAAGUUCCUGGGCUAGAGGUUGAAUCAGAGCUGCAGCUGCAGGCCUGUGCCACGGUCACAGCAAUAUUGGAUCUGAGCCCCAUCUGUGACCUAUGCUGCAGCUUGAUGCAAUGCUGGAUCCUUAACCCACUGCAAUGGGGUCUCCUAUUUUAGUGUAGUCAAAC